UGCCAGUCCAAGAUCAGAAUGCCAGG
rnacentral:piRNA from 1 species